AUGGAUUGGUUUCGUACUUCUAGUAUGUCGAUUUUAAUUUUCAUAUUCUGUUGCAAGAGAUGGUGGUGUAAAGCUGAUGGGGAAUUCUUAGCUUUUUCAUUGAUGAAGAAUUUCAAUGAAACUAUUGCACAUAAGAAGUAUCAAGGAAAGCAGGUUGAGGAGCUUAUCUACAACCUGGCAUACAUAGAAUUUCAAAUUUAUUUUCCGUACUUCAGAUACUCGUAUUCUCUGCCCAAGCCAGUAAAGGAACAUUAGAUUCAUAAGCCCGGAAGCUCAUCUACUAGCAGGGAAAAGUGGGUGGACGGACAUGUUUCAAGUGUAAUCAGUCCAGACUAGGGAGAAAUUGAUACAAGUUUUAUAGCUACUUGAAGUUAGUCUGUUAUUCUGGAAUGUUUUAAGGGCUAUGAAAUGGGAGAUGGAUGUUCCACAGUGGUGCUUGAAAGACGUCCAAAUGUUGCAGAAGGAUGGUUAAAUAAAUAUAGCAGUUAAAAUAUUUUACUGGGUACUGUUACACUUGGUCUUUGAUAGUCAUCUCUACUUGAUUUUGUGGAGGUCCUUCCUUGCAUGUUUUGGUCACCGUGUCUGCAGAACUUCUCAAUCAGAGAAGGAGAAAGGAAAGCUGUAGAGAGGCAAGAUGAAUGUGGCUGAUAGCACACACUCCUUGAAGAGGAAAAAUCGUAUGCUACUUAUUAUAAGCCGACUUGAUUCUCUUUUUGAAUAUGCUUGUAACUAAAUCACCUUCAUAUUUCAUCAAUAUCUAAUGUCAUGCAGUGUUGUGUUGCA